UACGGAGGGUGCAAGCGUUAAUCGGAAUUACUGGGCGUAAAGCGUACGUAGGCGGCUUGUUAAGCAAGAUGUGAAAUCCCCGGGCUCAACCUGGGAAUGGCAUUUUGAACUGGCAGGCUCGAGUUCUGAAGAGGGUGGUAGAAUUUCCAGUGUAGCGGUGAAAUGCGUAGAUAUUGGAAGGAAUACCGGUGGCGAAGGUGGCCACCUGGUCAGAAACUGACGCUGAGGUACGAAAGCGUGGGGAGCAAACAGG
rnacentral:rRNA from 1 species